GAUGAACGCUGGCGGCGUGCCUAAUACAUGCAAGUCGAGCGAACAGAUGAGGAGCUUGCUCCUCUGACGUUAGCGGCGGACGGGUGAGUAACACGUGGAUAACCUACCUAUAAGACUGGGAUAACUUCGGGAAACCGGAGCUAAUACCGGAUAAUAUAUUGAACCGCAUGGUUCAAUAGUGAAAGACGGUUUUGCUGUCACUUAUAGAUGGAUCCGCGCCGCAUUAGCUAGUUGGUAAGGUAACGGCUUACCAAGGCAACGAUGCGUAGCCGACCUGAGAGGGUGAUCGGCCACACUGGAACUGAGACACGGUCCAGACUCCUACGGUAGGCAGCAGUAGGGAAUCUUCCGCAAUGGGCGAAAGCCUGACGGAGCAACGCCGCGUGAGUGAUGAAGGUCUUCGGAUCGUAAAACUCUGUUAUUAUGGAAGAACAAAUGUGUAAGUAACUAUGCACGUCUUGACGGUACCUAAUCAGAAAGCCACGGCUAACUACGUG
rnacentral:rRNA from 1 species